CUGCCACGACAGUGUCGGGAGUGAGACUACGGGUGCUAAGAUCCGUGGUCGAGAGGGAAACAGCCCAGACCGCCAGCUAAGGUCCCAAAGUGCAUGCUAAGUGGGCAAGGUAGUCGCGGCGCAUAGACAACCAGGAGGUUGGCUUAGAAGCAGCCAUCCUUGAAAGAGUGCGUAAUAGCUCACUGGUCGAGGGUGCCGCGGCGCCGACAAUCCACCGGGGCUCAAGCAUGCCGCCGAAGCUGCGGAAUCGAGAGAUUGGUAGGGGAGCGUCCCCGUCAGCGGAGAAGGGGGAGCGGAAGCGAACCUGGAGCGGCGGGGAGUGCGAAUGUCGGCAUGAGUAGCGCGAGGAGAGUGAGAAUCUCUCCCACCGGAUGCCCGAGGGUUCCGCAGCCAUGCUGAUCAACUGCGGGUGAGGCGGGCCUAAGCCGAGGCCGAAAGGCGUAGGUGAUGGACAACAGGUUACUAAUCCUGUCCCACGAUUGGCCGUUAUGAGUGAUGGGGAG
rnacentral:rRNA from 1 species